GUGUUUCUUUGGAAGCACAUAUAUUAAACUUGGAACUACACAGAGAUCAGCACGGCUUCUGUGCAAGGAUGCCACACAAAUUUGUGUAGUGUUCCACACCAGA